CCCGCGCCGGCCUGUCUGACCCCUGCCGCAGUCGUGGUUUAAGUGCUUCACACCGCGUUGUUGUGGCUUUUCGGGUCUCUUUCUCCUUCCCGGGCUUGGUUUCUGGCAGAAGAAUGUACCACAACAGUAGCCAGAAGCGGCACUGGACUUUCGCCAGUGAGGAGCAGCUGGCACGACUGCGGGCCGACGCCAACCGCAAAUUCAAAUGCAAAGUGGUGGCGAACGGGAAGGUUCUUCCAAAUGAUCCAGUCUUUCUUGAGCCUCAUGAAGAAAUGACACUCUGCAAAUACUAUGAGAAAAGAUUAUUGGAAUUUUGUUCAGUGUUUAAGCCAGCAAUGCCGAGGUCUGUGGUGGGUACAGCUUGUAUGUAUUUUAAGCGUUUUUAUCUUAACAACUCAGUAAUGGAAUAUCACCCCCGGAUAAUAAUGCUCACUUGUGCAUUUUUGGCUUGCAAAGUAGAUGAAUUCAAUGUAUCUAGUCUGCAAUUUGUUGGAAAUCUGCGGGAGAGUCCUCUUGGACAGGAGAAGGCACUUGAACAGAUUUUGGAAUAUGAACUUCUUCUUAUACAGCAACUUAAUUUCCACCUUAUUGUCCACAAUCCUUAUAGACCGUUUGAGGGCUUUCUCAUUGAUUUAAAGACCCGCUAUCCUAUGUUGGAGAAUCCAGAGAUUUUAAGGAAAACAGCUGAUGACUUUCUUAAUAGAGUUGCACUGACGGAUGCUUACCUUUUAUACACACCUUCUCAAAUCGCCCUGACUGCCAUUUUAUCUAGUGCAUCCAGAGCAGGAAUUACUAUGGAAAGUUAUUUAUCAGAAAGUCUGAUGCUGAAAGAGAACAGAACUUGCUUGUCACAGUUACUAGAUAUAAUGAAAAGCAUGAGAAACUUGGUAAAAAAAUAUGAACCACCUAGACCUGAAGAAGUUGCUGUUCUGAAACAGAAGUUGGAGAGAUGUCACUCUGCUGAACUUGCACUUAAUGUAAUCACGAAGAAGAGGAAAGGCUAUGAAGAUGAUGAUUACAUUUCAAAGAAAUCCAGACACGAGGAGGUAUGUUCUCCAAAGUUUCUAAGUUGGAACCAAAUUUUGGAUGUCAAGUUUUUCUGGAAAACUGGGUUGAAGGAAUUCUGAAAAACUCAACUACCCCGAACCUAUAAGUUCUAUGGAUACAUAACUUCUCCUCACUGUCAGUGCAUCCUGGCUGUGAUUUCCAUAGGAGUUGUCCUCAUUGAAGGAAAGGAACAAAAUUCAUGAAGUGUGAUUUUAUAAAAGUGGAGAAGAUGCCUAAAUUGACAGUCCAGGUUAACUACCAGUGCUGCGAGGCUCCAGCCAGAAUUCCAAGCUGUUCAUAAAUUAUCUUGUCUCGUAGAUCACUAAACUUUGGCAUCAAAGUAAGGCCCAUCUUUAUCUCAAAUUUUCUUAGCCCCACUUUUAGAGGGGUUUUUCCAUCAUUGACCAGCUAGUUAUUACAAGGCCUGCAAAGGUAAAUGACAAGUUUCCUAUUCCAGCUUAAGAGACAAACAUGUCUUUAAAAUGCGAAAGGCAGAAGCAUUUCAGGUUGAGGAAUGGCAGGAUGGGUCAGUGUACAGGCUAAAGACUAAGGUGUGAUUACUGGGAGGGAACCAAAUUACCUAGCACGAAGUUUUGGACCUUUCUGCAUAAUGUCAAAAUAGGCAUUUCAGAGAUGUCACUAAUCCACACCCCUUCCCUGUCUGUUAUCUAUCCUGUGACACCAAGGAAGGAGACUAAGUUGGAUACUACUGUGGUAGUCCCGCUGAAAAGCAGGAGGGAUGGAAAUAUGAGACAAGGAGAAAAAAAAGUACAGGGUGUGCUGAGUUUUUUACCAUCACUGUUCAACUGUGAUUAUAGCUGUACCAGGGCUAGCUGCCUCCAAAGGAAUCUUAAAUCCUUGAUUACCUACCACUGUUUUUUUCCUAUAUUUUAAUCAGAGGGAUGGACUAUAGGCCCUUAGAAAAUUUCUCUACUGUGGGAAAUGCCUUCUCUCCCCUACACAAUUAUGGGAGUGAAGGAAUUGUUGCUGAACAAAUACACAAUGAAUGGAUUAAUGUAAUCCUUCCA